UGGGAAAUAUUGCACAAUGGGCGCAAGCCUGAUGCAGCCAUGCCGCGUGUAUGAAGAAGGCCUUCGGGUUGUAAAGUACUUUCAGUCGGGAGGAAGGUGGUAAGGUUAAUAACCUUAUCAAUUGACGUUACCGACAGAAGAAGCACCGGCUAACUCCGUGCCAGCAGCCGCGGUAAUACGGAGGGUGCAAGCGUUAAUCGGAAUUACUGGGCGUAAAGCGCACGCAGGCGGUUUGUUAAGUCAGAUGUGAAAUCCCCGGGCUCAACCUGGGAACUGCAUCUGAUACUGGCAAGCUUGAGUCUCGUAGAGGGGGGUAGAAUUCCAGGUGUAGCGGUGAAAUGCGUAGAGAUCUGGAGGAAUACCGGUGGCGAAGGCGGCCCCCUGGACGAAGACUGACGCUCAGGUGCGAAAGCGUGGGGAGCAAACAGG
rnacentral:rRNA from 1 species